GUAAUCUAGCCUCGGAGAAAGGGGGUGGCUUUAAUCCCGGUUGAAAGGGGGCCGCGGCCUAUCUAUUGGGAUGAGAGAUGUCUCCCUCCGAAGUUUACAUUCAAAAGCAGGUGCCAAGCAGCAAGGAUUUGUUGCAAUGAGAGGACUCCGAAAUUCCUUUCCUCCACCCAGCUAUCACCACCACCGAAGACUUCCCCUAAUUUUCAUUCCUAGAACUAUACUUCAUACCUUGAAUACAGUGAAUGUCCAGAAUUCUUUCCCAGGUAAGAACACCAAUUAUUCAUCCUUUUGUUGCUGAACUGUAUUACUACUUACCAUUUUCACAAAAUUAUCAGGUUAUUGUAUUUAUUCAAUAGGGUUAAAAAUCAUAGAAGUUACAUAUGGAAAGGACAGACUGGGUCUGUGGAGCACCAUCCAUGGUCCUCCUCUUCAGUAAAUUUAUCGCAUGAGUAUUGACAAGAGUGGACUGUGGGAUUAGGAGGGGAGAGAUGGAUGCAUGUGCUGGUUAGGGCAAGCUGAUCCAGAGUCUUCAGCUGCAGUUGGUCAAGGAAGUAGGUGGAAGGCACAUACUAACUGCAAUAUUUAUCACUAUAUCUGAGCAUGAAGCUACAGCUUAACUUUCAACAACAGAGAAAAUAUUAUAUUCUGAUUAUAUUCUGGAAUUAGUAAUACGUAACUUUGCAGCUGCUAGGGGAUCAGAAGAGCUUUACAAACAAAUGCAAGAAUUUUAAUGGUUAGCUCCACUGGAAUAACCUUUUCCACUUGUGAACAAAAACUCCAGAACUGUAGACUCUUGGCCUUAUGCUGAAUGGAUCAAAAAUAUCGAGACUCAUAGACUUUAAGGUCAGAAGGGACCAUCAUAAUUAUCUAGUCUGACCCACUGCACAUUGCAGGCUACAGAACCUCUCCCCCCCCCAGUCCAUAAUAGACCCAUAACCUCUGGCUGAGUCACUGAAGUCCUCAAAACAUGACUUAAAGUUACAGAAAAGCCACCAUUUACACUAGUUUUAAUUUCCAAGUGACCCAUGCUUCAGAGGAAGGUGAAACCCACACAGAGUUUCUGCCAAUCUGAGCCUGGGGAAAUUCCUUCCCAAGCCUAAAUGUGGUGAUCAGUUAGACCUUGAUCAUAUGGGCAAGACCCACCAGACACCUGGAAAAUAAUUCUUUAUAGUAACUCCAAGCCCUCCGCAUCUGGUGUCCUGUCAUCAGCUGUUGGAGAUUGGCUACAUCGUAGGCAGGCUACAUUGUAGGCAGUCUCAUCAUACCAUCCCCUCCAUAAACUUAUCAAACUCAGUUUUGAAGCCAAUUAGGUUUUGUGCCCCCACUGCUCCCCUUGGAAUAAUUCAGAGACUUUCAAGGUGACAAAAAUAUUCAAAUUAUUUACAGACCUAUGUUCAGUUGAACCUCCAAAAAGCUGAGGCCUAAACUGAGCUAGGACUGAUUGUCUUAUAAUGUUCUGAUCCAAGUAUAGUGUAAGAAACUUUUUGCAGCUUUACUAAUGCCCACUGAUUGGCAGAUAUCCACUUCUAUGAGGGCUGCUAUUUGUGCAGGCUUCCUUUAAGUGUGUAAAUGCCAGAGUAUGAUAUUCUCGCAGAGUAGAGGCUUAGAUUGAGAUUAAUGAAGGGACGUAGGUAUUGUAAUGCUGAGCAUCGCAGCACCUAAUUUUUGGGCGACUAAAAAAAUCACAGGAACAAAACUGCAAUCCAAAAAGUCUAGGCUCCAGGCACAAUGAAUAGGGAGAAAGAAGUGCCUAAGAAGGUGAUCCUCAAAAGCCUGCACUCUAGGUGUGGUGCCACCUAAAAUAGCCAAUGGGAGAUGCAGAUGAGGGGGUAUGAGCGAAGUCCUGCUCCUCUCUUGGAUUUAAGCGCCUUAUCUGGGCUGCACGGAGGCGUCUACCUUUGCUUAGCGAUCCAUGAAUAAGAACCUGACACCUGGAGUCUUUCUUCCAAGGAGCAGAUUUUUGUCUUUCUGAGUAUUUUGUAAAACAUAUGUGAACUUACACAUAUUUAGCUGAUUAAACAAAUUAGUUAGGGCCUUGCGAAUCCUCCCAGGUUAGCAGUUGUGGCCCUCACAGCAAAGGGUUAUGUACAGUUGCUGAAAUAUGUCAUUUCUCCAAAAGCAGGUAGCUCAUUGUUUAACAAGGAAAAUAUUUUGUAAAACUUAUCAGCUGUUAUGGUUUGUAUAAUAGCCAAAUACUAGAAAUGUAACAAUAAAUCUCCAUUUAAAAGUAAGAUUUCUAGACCUUUAGGGCUUUUAAACUAGAUCUGCUAGUAAGGCUUUCUAUUACCAAGUUAUGUUUAGUAGUCUCAGUUGUUAGUUCCCAAAUGAAGUUGGGAGAUAUUGUUCCAAGAAUUUGGGACCUUAUGC